rnacentral:rRNA from 1 species
AUAAUGGGUCAGCGACUUAUAUUCUGUAGCAAGGUUAACCGAAUAGGGGAGCCGAAGGGAAACCGAGUCUUAACUGGGCGUUAAGUUGCAGGGUAUAGACCCGAAACCCGGUGAUCUAGCCAUGGGCAGGUUGAAGGUUGGGUAACACUAACUGGAGGACCGAACCGACUAAUGUUGAAAAAUUAGCGGAUGACUUGUGGCUGGGGGUGAAAGGCCAAUCAAACCGGGAGAUAGCUGGUUCUCCCCGAAAGCUAUUUAGGUAGCGCCUCGUGAAUUCAUCUCCGGGGGUAGAGCACUGUUUCGGCAAGGGGGUCAUCCCGACUUACCAACCCGAUGCAAACUGCGAAUACCGGAGAAUGUUAUCACGGGAGACACACGGCGGGUGCUAACGUCCGUCGUGAAGAGGGAAACAACCCAGACCGCCAGCUAAGGUCCCAAAGUCAUGGUUAAGUGGGAAACGAUGUGGGAAGGCCCAGACAGCCAGGAUGUUGGCUUAGAAGCAGCCAUCAUUUAAAGAAAGCGUAAUAGCUCACUGGUCGAGUCGGCCUGCGCGGAAGAUGUAACGGGGCUAAACCAUGCACCGAAGCUGCGGCAGCGACGCUUAUGCGUUGUUGGGUAGGGGAGCGUUCUGUAAGCCUGUGAAGGUGUGCUGUGAGGCAUGCUGGAGGUAUCAGAAGUGCGAAUGCUGACAUAAGUAACGAUAAAGCGGGUGAAAAGCCCGCUCGCCGGAAGACCAAGGGUUCCUGUCCAACGUUAAUCGGGGCAGGGUGAGUCGACCCCUAAGGCGAGGCCGAAAGGCGUAGUCGAUGGGAAACAGGUUAAUAUUCCUGUACUUGGUGUUACUGCGAAGGGGGGACGGAGAAGGCUAUGUUGGCCGGGCGACGGUUGUCCCGGUUUAAGCGUGUAGGCUGGUUUUCCAGGCAAAUCCGGAAAAUCAAGGCUGAGGCGUGAUGACGAGGCACUACGGUGCUGAAGCAACAAAUGCCCUGCUUCCAGGAAAAGCCUCUAAGCAUCAGGUAACAUCAAAUCGUACCCCAAACCGACACAGGUGGUCAGGUAGAGAAUACCAAGGCGCUUGAGAGAACUCGGGUGAAGGAACUAGGCAAAAUGGUGCCGUAACUUCGGGAGAAGGCACGCUGAUAUGUAGGUGAAGCGACUUGCUCGUGGAGCUGAAAUCAGUCGAAGAUACCAGCUGGCUGCAACUGUUUAUUAAAAACACAGCACUGUGCAAACACGAAAGUGGACGUAUACGGUGUGACGCCUGCCCGGUGCCGGAAGGUUAAUUGAUGGGGUCAGCGCAAGCGAAGCUCUUGAUCGAAGCCCCGGUAAACGGCGGCCGUAACUAUAACGGUCCUAAGGUAGCGAAAUUCCUUGUCGGGUAAGUUCCGACCUGCACGAAUGGCGUAAUGAUGGCCAGGCUGUCUCCACCCGAGACUCAGUGAAAUUGAACUCGCUGUGAAGAUGCAGUGUACCCGCGGCAAGACGGAAAGACCCCGUGAACCUUUACUAUAGCUUGACACUGAACAUUGAGCCUUGAUGUGUAGGAUAGGUGGGAGGCUUUGAAGUGUGGACGCCAGUCUGCAUGGAGCCGACCUUGAAAUACCACCCUUUAAUGUUUGAUGUUCUAACGUUGACCCGUAAUCCGGGUUGCGGACAGUGUCUGGUGGGUAGUUUGACUGGGGCGGUCUCCUCCUAAAGAGUAACGGAGGAGCACGAAGGUUGGCUAAUCCUGGUCGGACAUCAGGAGGUUAGUGCAAUGGCAUAAGCCAGCUUGACUGCGAGCGUGACGGCGCGAGCAGGUGCGAAAGCAGGUCAUAGUGAUCCGGUGGUUCUGAAUGGAAGGGCCAUCGCUCAACGGAUAAAAGGUACUCCGGGGAUAACAGGCUGAUACCGCCCAAGAGUUCAUAUCGACGGCGGUGUUUGGCACCUCGAUGUCGGCUCAUCACAUCCUGGGGCUGAAGUAGGUCCCAAGGGUAUGGCUGUUCGCCAUUUAAAGUGGUACGCGAGCUGGGUUUAGAACGUCGUGAGACAGUUCGGUCCCUA